rnacentral:misc_RNA from 1 species
UAUUGUUUUAUUUCCGUUUCCUUGAGCUGUCAAUUCGGACGCCAUAUUUGAUAAGUUCCUAAUGAGAAACGCCGAAGCGUUACCCAAGAAAUAAAGGAAAUUAACGUAAAUUAUAUCCUAAUUUAUUCAAUAAAUAAGUUAACAUGUCAGGCGGAAGCAGCAGCAACAGAAAUGAAUGCAGAAUAUACGUUGGCAACCUUCCCCCCGACAUAAGGACAAAGGACAUUCAAGAUCUAUUUUACAAAUUCGGCAAAGUUACGUUCGUUGAUCUGAAAAACAGAAAAGGACCACCAUUUGCAUUCGUCGAAUUUGAGGACCCGAGAGAUGCAGAUGACGCUGUCCGCGCUCGCGACGGCUACGACUACGAUGGUUACAGGCUACGCGUGGAGUUCCCGCGCGGCGGCGGCGGCGGCGGAGGCCGAGGUGGCCGCGGUGGCCCCGAGCGCUUCGGCGCCCGCACCGCCACGCGCGGCCCGCCCGCCCGACGCUCCGAGUACCGCGUGCUCGUCACCGGCCUGCCGCCCUCGGGCUCCUGGCAGGACCUCAAGGACCACAUGCGCGAGGCGGGCGAUGUCUGCUUCGCCGACACCUUCAAAGAUGGCACCGGUGUUGUCGAGUUCUUGCGUCACGAAGACAUGAAGUAUGCUGUCAAGAAACUUGAUGAUUCAAGGUUCAGAAGUCAUGAGGGUGAGGUGUCGUACAUUCGCGUGAAGGAAGACUACGGCGGCGGCGGCGGAGGUGCUGACCGCUACAGCGGAGAUCGCGACAGGUCCCGCUCGUACUCCCCGCGGCGGCGCGGGUCGCCGACGUACUCGCCCGUGCGCCGCUCCUACUCGCGCUCGCGCAGCCGCUCGCGCAGCCACAACUACUGAGCACAGCUGCCGGAGCGGCGGGCGGCGGCGCGGCGGCGGACGGCACACACGCUAGACAUAAGACACGUUACUGUAGCGGCCGGCGGCCGACGCGGGCGCGGCAGUAGCUCGGCCGCGUCCGCUCGCGUUGUAUUCCCGACUGUUUAUAAUUAAAAGCAUUUUCUUUUGUUUCAUCCACUGUGGAUUGGGCUCGUUGGAUGUGCUUGGCUGGAGGUGUGAGUCAGGAUAGAGCCUCGCGUGUAGGAUCGGACCGCACCGGCGGAUCUCUGGCGGACAUUUGACUAUUUGUCGCGUGGAUGUAAAGUUCCCUUUGGGAUGUUGGAUUUGGUAUCGGACGGUUGCGGCGCCACCUCCGCGCUGGAUCAGGAUCAGGACCUUUGGGUAUGAAUAUUCAAAUUAAUUGCAAAAUAACUUAUGUUGAGUGCACGCUCGGUACAGAGUAUUAAUGUUUGUUUGGAUAUCCUUAACUCACACUUUAUUUGCUUCUCGAUGUCUGCCGUUUAUUUCCUAGACGUAGGACGUCGGUCAGAGACGAUAUGACAGAAAUUUUCUAUUAGCUUUGCUCAUUAGUGUGUUAGACCUAACAAUUCAGUGUCAUAUAUAAAUAAUUAGCAUGCUUUAUGAGCUUUCAUACAACCUACCUGCGUGACAGCGAUACGAGGCGUAUGUCUGGAUGUCUGGCCGAGAAUGGAUGUUGUUUUAAAAAUUGACGUAUUAUGUAAGUAAUAGAAAUUGUAAUGAUGUGAUGUUAGGGACUCGAGAUAAAUCACAAAUGUAUUGUUGUAACGUGCGCGUCGCCGACGCUCGAUAUCAUAGCUGUAAUGUGUGGACAUACAUGAUGUAAUUUAGGUACUGGAUCUGCAUUCCAAAGACCAACACAGUUUGAUGGACUUAAUAAAUUCCUUACAAAAGA